rnacentral:lncRNA from 1 species
GGUUUUUCGCUUGAGGUGGCAGUCACCUUUUGUUUGGUAGUCAUACAAGUUUGUUCUUAUUUUUUCAUCAAGGAUUUUUGGUGAUCCCUUUUCAUUUUUCUUUCUCUUUUAUUUUUUGCUUUUUAUCCCUAAUUUUUCCUGGACCACUUCUUUAAAGCUUUCAAUCCACCGGAAUGCCAUAAUUGUUUUGCCUAAGUCACCUUUUAUGAUGUUCAACUUAGUGGACUCUUUUUUUCUUUUUUUUGGAACAUUUUUUUAUGGAAUUUGUUCUUUUGGUUUGAUUUUGACCAGGGUCGUGACUGCCAUGUUGAUGGUUAUUGAGGCACAACCACUAUAACUUUUGGAUUUUUCAUGAUUUCUUCGACACUUAUUGGUGUAUGUGAAGAGGAGCAUGUGGUUGAACCUCUUAUUGGAAGGUGUACAUAUGGACUGAUUCUCUUGAAACUUGGAUGCAUCGUCGAAUUAACUAAAGACUAC